CCCACUAGCAUGCGUCCGACCCAAGGCCCUGCCGCUGAGCCCGUCUCAGCCCCUCUGACCCCGGCCUAGUUCGAAACAGGACCGUUAGCUCACGGUGCUCUGGUGCGCACCAGCCAGAUGCGGUUGGCGCCAGCCCCAGACCAACCGGCCCCGUGCGCUCCACUUUGGGCCUAACUGGCCCAAUAGGCCCCGCCCCCUCAUCAUCGUCAUCGUCAUCCCCCUCCCUUCCCGCGGCCCAAAUUGCGCGAGAACCAGCCGCUGACAUCAAACGGUCACGUGGCCUGUGACUUACAUUUUAUUGGUUGCUGAUGAGAAGGGGCGGCGCCUGUUGAGGCGCCCGAACUAUAAAUACCGGCGAGCGGCCUCGCUCCGCCUUUCUCUCUGCCUAGGGGAGCAGGCAGGGCGUUGGAGGUAUGACAGGAGCUGGCCUGGGACCUGCCGCAAUCCCUGGAGAGCGCCUACCCGGUGCUGCUGACCCACCGCCCGCUGCUUUUCUUUUUUUAAAGGGUGGGGUGGAUGGUUAAUAAAACAGCAGAAACAAAUCGUGAGACUUUUGUUUCGUUAUUGUGCUCUCCAGCACUGUCUUUGAACUGGUGAAGUGUCCCGCUAAUGGCUUCACUGGCUAAGCAACAGUGCAACAGGAAAAAGCUUGUUCAUAACUGGUGCUGCUUAGUUAAAAUCUGAGUGGCUCUUUUAAGAUCAAGUAACAAGGU